UCCUCCUUUCCACUGCUUGUCCUAUUCCAAUAAUGCUGCCCAGGACUAGCACUGGCACAAAUGCUACAAAAAGAGGAACCAAAACUAGGAGCACUGGGAACAGGCAACAAAAGGAGAAGUGGUAACUCUUAGGGAGAAAAAAAAGGAUUACUUGGUUACUGGCUACAGAUGCCCUUUCCCAGUGUGGUGGUUUUAAAAUAUCUAACAAACAGAACAGGCAGAAACAAUGUUAGAUUUCAGAGAGUAAGUCACAAAAGGCAUUGUGAUUUCCUCUUUGCUCUCUCCCUUGGAUCACUCAUUCCGGAGGAAGACAAGUUCCCUGUCAUGAGGUCCCUCCAGCAGCUUGCGGAGAGGAAAGAGGCCUCCAGACAACAGCCAUGUGCGUGAGCCAUCUUGGAAGCAGCUCCUCCCAGCCCCAGAAAAGAGGUGGAGGCAACAGCCUCUACAGACAGUGAUUCAUCCCCUCAAGCCAAGGACACAAAAUGGGAUGUGACAGAGGAAGCACCUCUCUCCUGAAACACACACAGAAGAGCUCGUGCAAAUUAAAUGAGGCUACAUACAAAGAUUAUAAUACAAAGACUCACAGAUCAAAGCAUUGUUACUCAGAAAUUAGCAAAAGCUAGCAGUCCUGCACAAACUCCAAUUCUAUUUUUUCAAGGCUCUGGCAUAUGCAGUCCACACGGCUGAAGAUGGAACAAAAAGCCCCUCUGUGUCUAGGCUAUUGCUUUUUUAACCAUACUGUAAAAGCAAGCUUGGAAUGAUGGCAUGGGCCAGAACCAAACAGGAUCUGUCUACUGUACACGGACCAGUAUGAAACUUAUUUUGUCAAAAGGUAAAUGAUGAAUACUCUUCAACAAAAUGAUAGGGCCACAGAAACCACGUCAAAGUAAUAGACCACAACAGGUUGUCUGGAAUGCUCUAUCAAUGUUAUGCCAAUUAUCAUAGUUCAAUAAGUCAGAAAUACUAAGUCAUGAUUACAUUUUUAAUUACUAUAAAAUAUGGGUUUCUUCACAGUGAAUUCAGAGUAAUUUACAGUUAUUCUAAAAUAAUCUUUAAAACUAAUUUAAAUUAUCUACAUGAUGCCUUUUACAAAGAGAACUUUUCAACCACUUUUUCAGAAUAAUGAAUUUUUUAAGUGCUGGCUUCUUUAAAUACACACGCACUCCAUUACAUCUUUUACAUAAUCAUCUUCAUUCUCAUCUAUUCAACUUUUACAAAAUAAGAUUUCACAGUGAAUUAUAAUUUAAUAAGAUGCUUUAUACACAGUAGAUCUUCAACUGUUAAAUUAAAAUAAAUUGAUUUUAAUGAAUUUGAAUGACCAGAGGCUUCCUCUUCUGCUGGUUUAAAUAUUCAAGCGUCAGCAUCUCUAUUUCUGUUGCACAGUUCAGGUAACAAAGAAAUUAUUACAAGCAAUGGGAUAGACACUGUGCUAGAUGCUUGGGGUACAGAAGUGAAGACACACAGAGUUCCAAUCCUUUCUUACUGAUUAGUGAAACGAUAAAAAAUAGUUCAUAUUCACUGCAUGAUUACGUAAUAUUUAUGAGUGAUAGAAUUGUUUUAAAUGGAUCUUAUUUAAUUAUCACAAUAGUGCUAUGAAGCAGUAGUAUGAACAUUACCCUGUUACUGAGACUUAGACAAAUUAAACGGCAUUUCUAAGCCCAAGAUCACAAAACUGUUAAAUGGUAGAGCUGGAAUUUAAAAGCACGUCUGCUGCUUCACCAUGACGAUAGUUAGACAGCCUCCCUCAAUAGAUCAUUUCCAUAUAAGCAGGGCACUCCUACAUAAUGUAGGAUGUGAUACUACCCAGCAGGCUACCUGGGUGCUGUGGGGGCCAGAGGACUGGCACUGGGCCCAAGCAUCCAUGUGUGAUGUCAGGAGACAGUGCCAAGGAGACAAUAUCCCUUUACUUCCUUUAAAAAAUCAGAUACUCUCGGGCUGUUGGAUGCCCAGAUGCCCCAAGUCCGAGACCGAUGCCAUCAGGACUGCAGCGGGAGAGGGGAUCUGCUGUCCUCAUCUUUCAGUAAAGCUGUUGGUCUAACAAACAAACAAAAAAAGACCAGAUAACUGGUGGGGUAGUUCUGACUUAGAGAUUUAGGGCAGUGAUUUCAAGAAACUCCAAUAAUUCCUUCAGAGAAGAUCCGAGAGAAGAACACUUCAUGCUGACUGUCUAGCAUGGACUCGGGAAUUAGGACAGCAUAUCUUUCAGCACCACGGCAGCCAGUGUGGAGAGCAAAACGUCAUCAUUCUGCAUCUUACCUUGCGCUGUUGCUCAACUGAACUUGUACCUUUUUUUUCCUUUCCCCAAAACCUUAAGAACAUUACUGAAAACUAUGACUGACAGAAACUCCAGAUUUUUGCUUUACAGUGAACUGACAACAUCUUCCAGUCAUUGUUAGUAUGGCACAUUCUUGUCACUAUUUAAAAAACUCUAAGUUCUAGAAACAAAUUAACAAAAACUUCACUGGCAAAGAUUCUGCUCAUGGUUCUAGCCCACAUACUAAUUAUUUUUUUAAUUUCACAUCUCUACCUUUUCAAAAAUGGGCGGGAAUUCUCUUUUUAUUAAAUUGAUAAUUGAAAAAACAGGGUUCACUUCUUCCUCUUAAUCACUCCCUAUACCCAAAUCCUACUCUAAAACUUAGAGAAAAUGUACAUUGUCCAUUUAAAGCUCGUGUUCUCUAGGGGGAACUUUUCUCUUCAUCCAUCAGCAUAGUGAAGUCAAGGCCUGGCCAGCGCUGCAGAAGCCAUUUCAAAUAAUCCUAUUAACUCCCUAAGAAAACUUUAAGGCAAGAACAAAGGCCUGAUGUGGUGAAAGAAAAACAAAACUGAGGUGAUCAUUAAGACAGUGGAAAAGAGUCAGAUGAGUACACACCAGGACAAAGAAAACAAUUUUUGUUAUAAACACUUGCAAAAAGACCUCAAAAAGAAGCACCGAACAUCUAUUUUCUUGAAGAAAUACACAUUCCAGAGUUAUAACUUUACUCUUGAAAUAAGGUCUGUACGGACUUUAAAUAACAGAAGAAUUCUCUCCCAUUUUUUCCCGUUAUUAGUUUUUGAACCCUGUUUUAGAGCCCUUCUUUUCUCCUUUUUCAUUACGCCUUUGAUCAGAGAUCUGUCCGACAAUAUCCACGAAUAGGAUACAGAACACGAUUUCAGUGGCAUGUUUGGGUCCCUCCCUGGGAAGCAGUCAUCAUCCCUUCUACUGAAACACAGGACUAAUUCCAACCUCUGGGGCUUCUGGUCUGUACUAGAACAAAAUUUUUUUAGUACUGAAACUUAUUUAAGACUACAAACUUUGCAAAUUGUUCCUGUUAAACAAUGACCUCAGGGCAGUAGCUGUCAAAUUACAGAUUACAUACAUUCAUGAUUCAGUAUAGCACAGUCUGCAUUCAUCGCUAAGUCAAUUAAGAUUACAGAAUUAUUAAUUGGUUUCCAUCUAGUUUCCAUGCUAGUUUGAAGUUCAAAUAGUUUCACUGUAUGGACUUAAAUAUUUUCUUAAAAAAUAGUAAACAGCAAUUCUUUUUCUGACCUUCUAAGCAGAUACAGAGAAAACAGGAACAAGAAGCAAUAGAAAGAACAAGUGCAGCUAUCAGAUUUGUGUCUUUUAUAUGCCAUUUGCAAGAAAGAGAAGGGAUUUCAGCGUGGGUUUGGGAAAUGCCUAGAAGCUGGUUUCUAAAAUGGCACCACUACUUGGUAUAAACUAUUUUUUUUCUGUACAAGGUAUUCAAUUCCAACAAAGGAAAAAUAACUACGACUACUACAGAAAACUGGAGUGAUCUCCUGUUAUGUGAUAAAAGGGCUGGUUUUACAUCUUUGUCAGAGUCACAGUGUACAUAUAAUCCACAGGAGUCAAGGAGCUAUCAUUUCACUCAUAGCACAAGUCUUUGGCACACACAA